GCAUGCCUUACACAUGCAGUCGANGGCAGCACGGGUGCUUGCACCUGGUGGCGAGUGGCGAACGGGUGAGUAAUACAUCGGAACAUGUCCUGUAGUGGGGGAUAGCCCGGCGAAAGCCGGAUUAAUACCGCAUACGAUCUACGGAAGAAAGCGGGGGACCUUCGGGCCUCGCGCUAUAGGGUUGGCCGAUGGCUGAUUAGCUAGUUGGUGGGGUAAAGGCCUACCAAGGCGACGAUCAGUAGCUGGUCUGAGAGGACGACCAGCCACACUGGGACUGAGACACGGCCCAGACUCCUACGGGAGGCAGCAGUGGGGAAUUUUGGACAAUGGGCGAAAGCCUGAUCCAGCAAUGCCGCGUGUGUGAAGAAGGCCUUCGGGUUGUAAAGCACUUUUGUCCGGAAAGAAAUCCUGAGGGCUAAUAUCCUUCGGGGAUGACGGUACCGGAAGAAUAAGCACCGGCUAACUACGUGCCAGCAGCCGCGGUAAUACGUAGGGUGCGAGCGUUAAUCGGAAUUACUGGGCGUAAAGCGUGCGCAGGCGGUUUGCUAAGACCGAUGUGAAAUCCCCGGGCUCAACCUGGGAACUGCAUUGGUGACUGGCAGGCUAGAGUAUGGCAGAGGGGGGUAGAAUUCCACGUGUAGCAGUGAAAUGCGUAGAGAUGUGGAGGAAUACCGAUGGCGAAGGCAGCCCCCUGGGCCAAUACUGACGCUCAUGCACGAAAGCGUGGGGGAGC
rnacentral:rRNA from 1 species